UGGCAGAAUAAGAAAAAGAAAAGAAAAAACGCAUAGCAUUCUGCCUUUAACAUCACCUUCCGUGGACCGCCUCCACCAGACAGAAGGAAUCCACCACGGAAUGCCUGCUUUGGAUUUAAAAUUAUCCUGCUGAGAUAGGUUAGCAGUGCUUCAUUCAGCAGUUACAGAAACUUCACAGGUGAGAAAAAACACACUGUUAGUAGCACUAUAGAUUUCUUUAAGGCCACUGGCCUCUUCCCAUUAGAAGUUCCAUCUGUCUCUGGUGGUCUUUCCCUCCUGAAGCUGGGAACAUCUCCUACCCGCUAUCCGAUUUACCACCCCUUCCAUCUAACCAGCUUGAGAACCUCAUCAGGCUCAAAUAAUAACCUGGGACAGUUUUUCUAUUAAGCACUCAACACUUUUCUCCCCAACCCCUGCUAGUCUGCCGCUCAUUCUGGACUUGCAACUUCUUCCAAAGGGUGGACCUCAAAUUUCCCUACUGUUUUGUCGAUUCUUGGCUUUUUAUUUAAGGGCCUGUCUGGCAGGAGAUGUCCCAUAAACACAUCAGCAAUCACAGAUGGCAAAUGCUAAAAAAAGAAAAAAAAGGAUAGAAAUGAUUUCCUCCUACGUGUUUGCAUUGAACUGCUCCAGAGAUUGUGCAUUUGGGGUUCUAUCGGUUAUUAAGUGUGAGCAUACGUUAUUCCUGUAAUGACCUCAUCAUGUUGCAUGAUUAUGGGCUGCUGCUGCCGAACACUUUCAAACGACACCGUGAACUUUAAAUUGGCACUGCUAUCUCCCAGCGGCCUGUCAGUCAUGAGAGCCGCAUCUUUAUGCCAGCAAGCCCCUUGCAUGGAGUCUGACAUGGCAAUCUUCAGUAAAUUACCCUGUCACUGACAAUCUUGCAGUUAUCUUGCAAACAAUCAAGCAGGCAAUCAAACUGUCCUGAAUUGCCAGUUCAGGACCCGAGAGGCUGCCAGCGUCUCUAUUCAACAGGGGCGAGAGAGCGGCACAGCCCUCCCGUGACAUUGGCCGAUUUCUUUCUUUAUUUAUCCACCUACUUGUUUGUCUGGUGGGCUUUUACCCAGUGAGGGUGGCGAAAGAGGUGUGCAGAGACCUCAAAAAGGGCCCAAUUCUGACUCAGCGUUUUGGGAAAAUGACCCAGGCCAUCCUGAGCAGGCCCCACAGCAGUGUCCCACGUUUGCCUAAUGGGUCCUCAUUUACUUCACUCUGUGAGAUGUGGCCGUGGAGAAUUAUCUAGGUGCUUUCUGUCAGGAUGCAUGCUAAAUCACAGCUCUGGCUAUAUUCCACAUGUGUAUGUCAUACGCUAAUUGCAAUGGCCAUUUCAGAGAAAUAUGGAUGUGGAGAAACUUUCUGGGAACAAUGUGGGAGGCAUUCUUUUUACUGCUUUUGAUAAAGAAAAUCAGAGAGUCUUCCAUAACAGGUCUGGCAACGUGAAGCAGAAAUCAGGUUGAUGCUAAAUUGAUUCCUUUGAAUUAGAAUUCCUAAAGUAAAAAGCCAAAAAGUCUACACAGCAUCAGAGGGAGGUUCCUGGCCUCUGGAAUCAGACAGAUUUGGGAUUGAAGCUCAUCUCCUCUAGUCCUCGGUUGUGUAAGCUUAGAUAACCAAUCUUGCCAAACUUUAAUUUCUUUGCCUGUAAAACUGAGUUAUAAUAAUGCAUAUAGCAUAGGGUGCUGUGAUGGGGAAUAAAUGAACAGAUACACACACACACACACACACACACACACACACACACACAUAUCAGUUCGGCAUAGUUUGUGUUCAAUGAACUAUAACCAGAAACCCUGCAAAGUUUUCAACUUUUUCAGUUUAUAAAAACCAGACAUGGCAGGGCACCUGGGUGGCUCAGUUGGUUAAACGUCCAACUUUAGCUCAGGUCAUGAUAUCAUGGUUUGUUGAGCCCUGCAUCAGACUCUGUGCUGAUAGUUCAGAGCCUGGAGCCUGCUUCCAAUUCGGUGUCUCCCUCUCUUUCUGACCCUCUCCUGCUCAUGUUCCGUCUCUGUCUCUUAAAAAUGAAAAAAAAAAGUUAAAAAAAUUAAAAACCAGACAUGGUUAUAAAUGAAAUUAAUAUCCCCUAUUAGAGUCAUUCACUGGUAUUUGCUAUGGGUAGGUUGAAUCCUGUCAAAAAUGCUAUGUUUCUAAAUAGCAAUAGGUGAAUGGACAGUAUGAAUAAAUGCUAUGGGUGGAACGAGAUUUGCACGUAUCCUUGAUUUAAAUCCUCACAUAACCCCACAGAGCAGAAUAAUAUAACCCUUAAGCUGCAUAGUCUGGAUCAGGCUGUCUGGGUUUGACUCUCAGAUCAGGUACCCAAUUUGCUGACCCUGGGCUAGUAACCACUCUGCACCUCAGUUUCCUCGUGUACAAAAUGAACUGAUGACAAUGAUGUUAGAAAGCACAGUUUGGAGGAUUAAAGCAGUUAUUACACAUAUAGUACUUAGAACAGUGCCUGGUACAGUGACUACUCUGUUAACUGUGUGUUACGCCCAUUAUCACGCCAUCAUCCACUCUAUAAAGUUGGAAACUGAGGCUCUGAGAAGCUGAGUAAGUUAUCCAAGUGGCUACGAAGGAGUUUUAGAUAAAAAGUAGGAAAAGGCAACCAGUGAGAUCAUUACUCUUUGUCUUCUUCAUUAUCAGGAGGAGGUGAUGUUUCUUUCCCAAAGGGAGUGUGAAGACAGGGCAGUGGACACCCAUCAACUCUGGAA
rnacentral:lncRNA from 1 species